rnacentral:pre_miRNA from 9 species
UCUCGUUAACGUAAAAGUUAACUCAAAUUUGUAUGGAAUUGGAACGUUUGCCUACACUUACCGCUAGGAGCGCUGUUCCAACUGCAUACAAAUUUGAGUAAAUUUUUACGUUAUCGA